rnacentral:rRNA from 1 species
GAUCAUGGCUCAGGACGAACGCUGGCGGCGUGCUUAACACAUGCAAGUCGAACGAAAAGAGGGGAAGAGCUUGCUCUUUCCGGAAUUGAGUGGCAAACGGGUGAGUAACACGUAAACAACCUGCCUUCAGGAUGGGGACGAACAGACGGAAACGACUGCUAAUACCGAAUAAGUUCCAAGAGCCGCAUGGCCCAUGGAAGAAAAGGUGGCCUCUACCUGUAAGCUAUCGCCUGAAGAGGGGUUUGCGU